GAUGAACGCUGGCGGCGUGCCUAAUACAUGCAAGUCGAGCGAACAGACGAGGAGCUUGCUCCUCUGACGUUAGCGGCGGACGGGUGAGUAACACGUGGAUAACCUACCUAUAAGACUGGGAUAACUUCGGGAAACCGGAGCUAAUACCGGAUAAUAUAUUGAACCGCAUGGUUCAAUAGUGAAAGACGGUGUUGCUGUCACUUAUAGAUGGAUCCGCGCCGCAUUAGCUAGUUGGUAAGGUAACGGCUUACCAAGGCAACGAUGCGUAGCCGACCUGAGAGGGUGAUCGGCCACACAUGAACUGAGACACGGUACAGACUCCUACGGGAGGCAGCAGUAGGGAAUCUUCCGCUAUGGGCGAAAGCCUGACGGAGCAACGCCGCGUGAGUGAUGAAGGUCUUCGGAUCGUAAAACUCUGUUAUUAGGGAAGAACAAAUGUGUAAGUAACUAUGCACGUCUUGACGGUACCUAAUCAGAAAGCCACGGCUAACUACGUG
rnacentral:rRNA from 1 species